rnacentral:rRNA from 1 species
UACGAAGGGGGCUAGCGUUGCUCGGAAUCACUGGGCGUAAAGGGCGCGUAGGCGGCGUUUUUAAGUCGGGGGUGAAAGCCUGUGGCUCAACCACAGAAUGGCCUCGAUACUGGGACGCUUGAGUAUGGUAGAGGUUGGUGGAACUGCGAGUGUAGAGGUGAAAUUCGUAGAUAUUCGCAAGAACACCGGUGGCGAAGGCGGCUUUCUGGGCCUACCCUGACGCUGAGGAGCGAAAGCGUGGGGAGCAAACCGG